rnacentral:rRNA from 1 species
AUUAUUUUUUAAUUAAAAAUUUAUUUAUAUUUUAUUUUUAAUUAUUUUUUUUUUAUUAAAAAUAAUUUUAAUUUUAUUUUUAUUUUUAGUAAAUUUUAUAUAAUAAAUAAAAAUUAUUAUAAUUUAUUUGUAUUGAAAAAGAAAAUUGAAAUAUUUUGAAAAUUAAAUUUUUUAAAAGAAAAAUUUAAUUUUUGUACCUUGUGUAUCAUGAUUGAUUAAUUAAAUAAUAAUAAAUUUAUUUUUCUCGAAUUAAAAAGAUUUAAUUUUAAAUUAUUUUUUUUUGUUUAAAAAAAAUUUUGAAUUUAUAAUUAGAAAUUAAAAGUUAUUCGUUUUUUAAGUUAUCUAGUUUUUUAAGAAAUAAAUUUAAUUUAUUUUUAUUUAUAAAACUUUUUAUUUAAAAAUUUAAAUUUUAUAGUUUUAUUUUUUAAAUUAAAUAUUAAAAGGGAUGAUCUUUUUAAUAAAUUUUUAUAAUUUUCUUAAAAUAAAUUAAAAAUUAAAUAAUCUUAAAAAUAGAUAUUUUUAAAAAGUAUGUUUUUAUUUAAUAAUUUUUUAAAAAAAUUUUUAUUGUAAUUUAAAUUUCUAUUAAAAUUUUUACUUAAAUUUUAAAAGUAAAAUAAAAAUGAUUAAAUUAGUAAAAUUUUUAAAAUUUAAAUUAUUAAUUAUUUAUUAAUUUUUUUAAAAAUAAUUCAGCAAAAUUUUUUAUUUAAAUGUUUAACAAAAACAUUGUUUUUUGAUUUUUUUUUAUAUAUAUAAAAAAUAUAACCUGCCCAAUGAAUAAUUUUUUUAAAAGGCCGCAGUAUUUUGACUGUGCAAAGGUAGCAUAAUCAAUAGUCUUUUAAUUGAAGACUUGUAUGAAUGGUUGAAUAAAAUAAAUACUUUUUUUUAAAAAUUAUUUAAAUUUUUUAUUUUUGUUAAAAAUCAAAAAUAUUUUUUAAAGACGAUAAGACCCUAUAAAGCUUUAUAUUUUUUUUCUUAAUUAUUAUUAGAAUUUUAAAAUUUUUAUUAAAUAAAAUAUUUUAUUGGGGUGAUAAUAAAAUUUUAAAACUUUUAUUUAUAAAAUUUAAUUUUAUUUAAAAAUUAAUUUUUUUUGAUCCAAUUUUUGAUUAAAAGUUUAAGUUACUUUAGGGAUAACAGCGUUAUUUUUUUAGAGAGUUCUAAUCGAUAAAAAAUAUUGCGACCUCGAUGUUGGACUAAGAGUAAUUUUUGGUGCAGAAAUUAAAAAUUUUAGUCUGUUCGACUAUUAAAUUCUUACGUGAUCUGAGUUCAAACCGGUUUAAGCCAGGUUGGUUUCUAUCUUAAAAAAAAAAUUAUAGUUUAGUACGAAAGGACCAAUUAUAAAUUUUUAAAAUAUUUUAUUUGAUUUCCAUUAAUUUAAAAUUAAAAUUUUUUAUUAAUUUUUUUUAUUAAAGUUUCUAUUAUUUAUAAGAAACUA